CCAGUCGGUCGUCCUGUCGCUGGCAUAUUUCAAUAUGCGGGAGGAAAGUCCGGGCAACGCAGAGCACCAUGCUUCUUAACGGGAAGUGGGCAGUGAUGUUCAGGUCAGGCAGAAGAAAAUAACCGCCAUAUUCUUUAUGUUAUGGUAAGGGUGAGAAGGUGGGGCAAGAGCCUACCGCAGUGAUGGUGACAUCACUGGCUGUGCCGCCAUGGGUUGAAAGUUCAAGUAUAUCAACGUUAUUAGGGUUGCUCGCCCGAGUUGAGUGGGUGGAACGAUAGAGCCUUCGGGUGACCGUUGGCGUAGAUAAAUGACAGGAACUGACAUCAAUGUCAGUACAGAACCCGGCUUACAGAUUGACUGGUUUU
rnacentral:RNase_P_RNA from 1 species